UCGAUAGCGUGAAAUGUUUCUAUUAUUACUCUAUUUCUAAAUAUAUUUAUUUUGUUAUGAGUACGAGAAUUUCGGAAUAAAGGGACGAAAUAAUAAUAUCCCUUUACAUAAAUAUGUAAGAUAUUAGAAGAAAAAUUUGGAUUACAGACACAAUAAUGACAUUCCUGCCGAGGUUUGUCUGCAUUUCACCGUACACUGUAUUUUGCGGAUUAUCUUUUACAAUGCAAUUAUGCUGUUUGGGUCUACACUUGAGUGAUAGUCUUCGCAUUUCGGACAGAAUAAGAGAUACAGGUUUUACAAAAAUAUUGAAAAAUUAUUGUUACACAUAUUUCUUAUCUCAAGUGCAUUAUAUUUGGCGAAAUUUGGAAGAAAUUGGAACGAAAUAUUUCAGGCGAUAAAAAUCUUGGAAAAGAGAACAACACGAAUUGAAGAUCCUAAAAAACUAGUUAAGCUCAUCGACACGAUAACGCUAUGGGGAUUAUUUUUAUUUUCACUUGAGAUCGGACUACAUUUACUAUUUGCCAUAGAAGAUACGAAAUUAUGCUCCGAUCAUAACAAUAUUACUUUAAAAUUGUUUUGGAAUAAGUUCUUUAUAACAAACCAUCGGCAUUAUUUUUCAUAUCUACCUAAUACGGUAUUUGUUGGAUUUACAUUAGAGUUUUUGAAGACACAAAUCAAAUUCUGGGACUAUGCCAUGAACGUUUUCAUCAUAAUUAAUGGCAUUUAUCUGGCAAAACAGCUUGGACAUCUAAACAUGAUCAUGGCUCGAAGACUCCAGGAGAAUAAAGGUAAUAGAAUGACAUGGAUCAACAUACAAAUGCAAUACACAACGCUUUGCAAACUAGUCAAACAGGUCGACAGUUUUUUGAACCCUAUCGUGUUUUUUUUAUAUAUAUACAACCUCAUUAAUACUUGUAAAUCUAUUCAUGAGCUCCUAGAAUUCAAAGGAUUAUACAAAAUGAAUAAAGGUGCAAGUUGUAAGCAGGUCAAUAGUAGCAAUAUCAUAGCGAACGUGUAUAAGUUUUACAUCACUCUCAUAUCAUUGGUAAAAACAGUAGGGGUAGUGCUAAUUGGAGGAAAAUUGAACGAUUUGACCUUAGAACCCUUGGAUGCAUUACAGGAAGCAAAUACUUCUGCUUAUGGCGUUGAGUUGCAGCGUUUCAUGGACCAAGUAUAUCAUUCAAGAGUUGGAUUGAGUGGAUUUGGUUGUUUUAUUAUCACCCGCAGCUCUCUCCUUCAGAUAAUUUCAGCGAUUAUAACUUAUGAAUUGAUGCUAAUACAACUAUUGGAUGUCGACUAAAAUUGUAAUUUAAGCGUCCCUUGUGUAAAAACUUGUUGUUAUGAUAUAUUUUAUUGAAAAACUUUAUUUGAAACUAGCUGACCCGGCAAACGUUGUUUUGCCAUAUAAAGUAUAAUUCACGCGAUAGUUUUAUAAGUAAUAAAAUAUUGCCUAUAUUAUAGCCUGUACAUCAUUUUGUUCUAUUGUCAUUAGUUUUUGCAGCGCACGCAAAAAUAGGUUUUCCAUUUUACACCUUGUGUUACAAAAUAGCAAUUUUACUACGGAUCCCUAAUUUUGAAAAAAAAACAUAGCCUAUAGCCUUCCUCGAUAAAUGGACUACCCAACACUGAAAGAAUCAUUCAAAUCAGACCAGUAGUACCAGAGAUUAGCGCGUUCAAACAAACAAACAAACACUGCAGCUUUAUAUAUUAGUAUAGAUAAAAGCUCCUUUGAUUCCUCUGGUGUUGCAAGAGAUCGUGGGCGGCGGCACUUAACAACAGGUGACCCGUACGCUCGUUUGUCCUUCUAUUCCUUAAAAAAAAGGGAGAUUUCUACUACAAUAUAUUAAAUUAAAACUGUUCAAAGUUACAUAAUAUCAUAGAUAAUAAGAAAUAAUUCAAUUAAAUGUUUGUUCUUCUUGAAACUAGUAGAUAGUAGAAGUUACAUUAAAGUUUAUGU